rnacentral:rRNA from 1 species
CCGUAACUAUAACGGUCCUAAGGUAGCGAAAUUCCUUGUCGGGUAAGUUCCGACCCGCACGAAAGGCGUAACGAUUUGGGCACUGUCUCAACAACAGACUGGGUGAAAUUGUAAUACCGGUGAAGAUGCCGGUUACCUGCGACAGGACGGAAAGACCCCAUGGAGCUUUACUGUAGCUUGACAUUGAGUCUCGGUGCUACAUGUACAGGAUAGGUGGGAGGCUAUGAAGCAUGGACGUCAGUUUGUGUGGAGCCAUCCUUGGGAUACCACCCUUGUAGUACUGGGAUUCUAACCAGCUGCCUUGAAUCAGGUAGUGGGACACUGUCAGGUGGACAGUUUGACUGGGGCGGUCGCCUCCUAAAGAGUAACGGAGGCGCUCAAAGGUUCUCUCAGUACGGUCGGAAAUCGUACGUAGAGUGUAAAGGCAGAAGAGAGCUUGAUUGCAAGACAUACAGGUCGAGCAAGGACGAAAGUCGGACUUAGUGAUCCGGUGGUACCGCAUGGAAGGGCCAUCGCUCAACGGAUAAAAGCUACCCUGGGGAUAACAGGCUGAUCUCCCCCAAGAGUCCACAUCGACGGGGAGGUUUGGCACCUCGAUGUCGGCUCAUCACAUCCUGGGGCUGUAGUAGGUCCCAAGGGUUGGGCUGUUCGCCCAUUAAAGUGGUACGCGAGCUGGGUUCAGAACGUCGUGAGACAGUUCGGUCCCUAUCCGUCGCAGGCGUAGGAAAUUUGAGGAGACCUGUCCUUAGUACGAGAGGACCGGGAUGGACGUACCGCUGGUGUACCAGUUGUUCUGCCAAGGGCAUAGCUGGGUAGCUAAGUACGGAAAGGAUAAGCGCUGAAAGCAUCUAAGCGCGAAGCCUACUUCGAGAUAAGAUUUCCCACCGCAAGGUUAAGACCCCAUGAAGACUACAUGGUUGAUAGGUCAGAGGUGGAAGUGUGGUAACAUAUGUAGCUUACUGAUACUAAUAGGUCGAGGACUUGACCAA